rnacentral:rRNA from 1 species
GCAGCAGUAGGGAAUUUUCGUCAAUGGGGGGAACCCUGAACGAGCAAUGCCGCGUGAGUGAAGACGGUCUUCGGAUUGUAAAGCUCUGUUGCGAGAGAAAAAGGACAGGAAGAGGGAAUGCUUCCGGUUUGAUGGUAUCUCGCCAGAAAGUCACGGCUAACUACGUGCCAGCAGCCGCGGUAAUACGUAGGUGGCGAGCGUUAUCCGGAAUGAUUGGGCGUAAAGGGUACGUAGGCGGCCAGAUAAGUCUGGUGUGAAAGGCUGCAGCUCAACUGCAGCACUGCACUGGAAACUGUCCGGCUGGAGUGCAGAAGAGGGCGAUGGAACUCCAUGUGUAGCGGUAAAAUGCGUAGAUAUAUGGAAGAACACCGGUGGCGAAGGCGGUCGCCUGGUCUGCAACUGACGCUGAAGUACGAAAGCGUGGGGAGCAAAUAGGAUUAGAUACCCUAGUAGUCCACGCCGUAAACGAUGAGAACUAGGUGUUGGGGGAAUAACUCAGUGCCGCAGUCAACGCAAUAAGUUCUCCGCCUGGGGAGUAUGCACGCAAGUGUGAAACUCAAAGGAAUUGACGGGGGCCCGCACAAGCGGUGGAGUAUGUGGUUUAAUUCGAAGCAACGCGAAGAACCUUACCAGGCCUUGACAUCCCCUGCAAAGAUGCAGAGAUGUAUCGGAGGCUAUCAGGGAGACAGGUGGUGCAUGGUUGUCGUCAGCUCGUGUCGUGAGAUGUUGGGUUAAGUCCCGCAACGAGCGCAACCCUUGUGAU